rnacentral:misc_RNA from 1 species
GAUGAAGAACGCAGCGAAAUGCGAUAAGUAAUGUGAAUUGCAGAAUUCAGUGAAUCAUCGAAUCUUUGAACGCACCUUGCGCCCUUUGGUCAUUCCGAAGGGCAUGCCUGUUUGAGUAUCAUGAACACCUCAACUCUUUAUGGUUUUCCAUGAUGAGCUUGGACUUUGGGGGUUUUGCUGGCCUAUGGUCGGCUCCUCUAAAAUAAAUCAGCUUACCAGUGUUUGGUGGGUAUCAUGGGUGUGAUAACUAUCUACGCUUGUGGUUUUUCCGCCAGGUAACCUUCGACAGCGGAGGUUCACUGGAGCUCAUAGAUGUCUCUCCUCAGCGAGGACAGCCCUUUGAAUGUUUGAUCUCAAAUCAGGUAGGACUACCCGCUGAACUUAAGCAUAUCAAUAAGCGGAGGA